rnacentral:tRNA from 5 species
CGCGGGGUAGAGCAGUUGGCAGCUCGGCAGGCCCAUAACCUGCAGGUCGCCGGUUCGAGUCCGGCCCCCGCAACCA